AAAACGACUCUCGACAACGGAUAUCUCGGCUCUCGCAUCGAUGAAGAACGUAGCGAAAUGCGAUACUUGGUGUGAAUUGCAGAAUCCCGUGAACCAUCGAGUCUUUGAACGCAAGUUGCGCCCAAAGCCAUCAGGCCGAGGGCACGUCUGCCUGGGCGUCACGCA
rnacentral:rRNA from 3 species